CCAUUUACAAACUAAAAAAAUUAUCAAAUAAGUUUUAUGAUAAUUUUUUUAAUUUUUUGUAAAUAUAAAUUGAAAACUGAAAACUGAAAACAAAAUGGUUACCAAAUAGAGCCUUAAUAAUUGUCGAAAUAGUUUUUUCAAAAUAGAGUACUAUGUUUUUCAAAAUCAUUUUCGAUAAAAAUUAUAAAACAUAAUGAUGAGUAUUUAUUUUAUGAAAAUUCGUUGACUGAUUAGUGUUCAACUCAAUUUGUGGGGUGUACCAUAUAGUCAAAAAAAUUAUAUAUGAUUGUAUUGAAUGAAAAUGUUUAUAUUUCAAAGUGAACAAAAUAUUAUUGUAGUGUAUAAAAAUAUUAUAUUUUGUGGUAAGAAAAAUUAUAUCAUUUCAGAAAAAUGUAAAAUAUUUUUUCAUAUUAGUAAAACAAAUUUAUUGUAUUAUGCACUUUAUUGAAAUCCUUGGCAAGGCAGCCUACAUGGGGCUGCCAUGUUAUUGUCCUUGCCUAUCUUUUCCUUCACAUUGGUUUUAAAAUUCAAUUUUGCUUGCAAGAUUGGCAGAGCCCUUCUCUCUCUCUCUCUCUCUCUCUCUCUCUCUUCCUCCAUUGUUGGUCACCCUUUUAGCUUCGUAUACGUAACAUUGCGGAUAAAGCCGGUCCUAGUAACAUCUACAGAAAUGCACCGUUAAAGGAAACAAUCGAUGAAAUUGUGCGGGAAAUGGUUGUAGAAACUAAUCACAACUUGGUAGAAGCGUGGAACAUUGCGGCAAUGUAUUAUUACAACAAUUACUACCAAGUCUUGCGAAAUACAUCAAUCUUGUCGGGACGAUUAUAGAUGUACGAGUUGUUUAAUGGCCAGCAAGUCCAAUUUGAAGAUGCAGUCAGUAUGUCUCAACCAGUGUUCUUGAAGUUGUGUGAUGCUCUACACAAUUUUGGGUUGACAGCACCGUAGUGGGAGCAUGGGGUGCCGCUCGAAGAAAAUGUAGCAAUUUUCAUUUCUGUUUUGUAGGGAAUUUCACGGAGGAAUUUGCAAGAACGGUUCCAACACUCAAAGGAGACAUUGUCAUGGCAUUUCCAUGAGGUUUUGCAAGUUAUGAUACCAUCUAUGUCAAUUCAGAGUAGGACCCGAUCAAGUCCAACAUGGGGGCCAUCCACAUUUACGCUCUAAACGGCAGUACCGGCCAUUCAAGGAAAAUACUACUUGGUCGAUAGCGGGUACAACAACAAGACAGGAUAUUUAGCCCCGCACAAAGGGUAUUGAUAUCAUCAAAAUGCCUAUCACAACCGAAUACCACAAAACGUGUUUGAACGGUUCAACAAGGCACAUUCGUCCUUGUGUAGUUGUAUCGAGCGAACAUUUGGUGCUUGGAAGUCGAGGUGGGGGCCUUUGCCGAAUGUGCCGAAGAUAAAUUUUUUUGAUCAAGUGCCCUUUGUAUGUGCGUCGAUGGCUUUACAUAACUUUAUACGCCGGAAUAGUCAAUUUGAUACGAUCAUGCCAGAAAUCCCAGACGACGAUAAGUACGUUGCGCCGUAAAUGCCCGACCAUCCCGAAUACACCUAGGUUGGUGAUAUCAUAGAGUCAGGGGACUCAAAUUCCCAUAUGGCAACUAUUAAAGCGAAUAUUACAUAUGCACUGUGACAGCAAGGGCACGUUUAAGGCCGAUGCAUUUGUUGCUGUGGCGGGUCUUAUAUUCGUUGUAUGUUGUGUAACACUGAUGUAUGUUGUUGAAAGUGAUUCUAUUAUUAUAUCAUUAAUUAUAAUGAAAUAAUUU